UACAGGGGGUGCAAACGUUGCUCGGAAUUAUUGGGCGUAAAGCGCACGUAGGCGGUUUGUUAUGUCGGAUGUGAAAGCCCUUGGCUCAACUGAGGAAGUGCAUCCGAAACUGGCAAGCUAGAGUAUGUAAGAGGGUCGCGGAAUUCCCGGUGUAGAGGUGAAAUUCGUAGAUAUUGUCAAGAACUCCGAUUGCGAAGGCAGCUUACUAGACUGUAACUGACGCUGAGGCUCGAAAGUGUGGGGAUCAAACAGG
rnacentral:rRNA from 1 species